rnacentral:tRNA from 1 species
GCCUGGGUGGCUCAGUCGGUUGAGUGUCCGACUUUGGCUCAGGUCAUGAUCUCACGGUUUGUGGGUUCGAGCCCCACGUCUGGCU